AAUCAACGCUGGCGGCGUGCCUAACACAUGCAAGUCGCACGGUCAGCAAUGGCAGUGGCGGACGGGUGAGUAACACGUAGGAAUCUAUCCUGGGGUGGGGGACAACAGCGGGAAACUGCUGCUAAUACCGCAUGAUACCUGAGGGUCAAAGGCGCAAGUCGCCUGAGGAGGAGCCUGCGUCUGAUUAGGUAGUUGGUGGGGUAAAGGCCUACCAAGCCUGCGAUCAGUAGCUGGUCUGAGAGGAUGAUCAGCCACACUGGAACUGAGACACGGCCCAAACUCCUACGAGAGGCAGCAGUGGGGAAUAUUGGACAAUGGGCGAAAGCCUGAUCCAGCAAUGCCGCGUGUGUGAAGAAGGUCUUCGGAUUGUAAAGCACUUUUGGCAGGGACGAUGAUGACGGUACCUGCAGAAUAAGCCCCGGCUAACUUCGUG
rnacentral:rRNA from 1 species